rnacentral:misc_RNA from 1 species
GGUAAUGACAGAAGUCAUUUUCCAGAAAAUGUUUUCUGAAAACAUUUAUUAAAAACUGUUGUGCUUUGAUGAAAAUUGAGUAUUAAAGAUUGCUAAUAAUAUAUCUAUUAGUUAAGAGUUGAGAUGAUGGGAACAUGAGUCAUUCUCCCCUUUUCGCAAAAACUGUUCUCCGGAAAAGUAGUUUCUGGCAACCAAAUACCAAAAAUUUCCUUCUUUU